rnacentral:lncRNA from 1 species
ACUAGAUGAUCUUGUCUUGGUCUUGACAUUAAAAAGAUUAUUCCUAAGGAUUCAUCACUAUCUAUGAUGAAUUGCUGGAUACGUUUUUAUUAAAAGCCUUCGUUCGGUUAAGGAAAUUUGUCUCCUAUUUUUUUUAAAUGUCAUUUUGCAUGAAUGAAUAAGUUUUUCUUUAAAUUAAGAUGAUCAUAUAUGUAUUUUCCUCUUUUUACCUGCAUGAAUAAAUAAACUGCAUAAUGGAUGCUAAACCAUCCUUGUAGUAAUGAAACAAAUCCCAAUUGGUCAGGACAUAAAUUAUAAAUUUUAUACAAUGGGAGAUUUAAUUUGCCAAAAAUUUUGCUAGACUUUUAUUACUUAAGGUUUUUGAAUCUUUGCUACUUUGAUUGGCCUACAAUUUUCCUUUCUUGCAUUUUUUUGUUUGUUUGUUUGCUUCUGUUUGUGGUAUCAAAGUAGCCACAACAAAUUAACUGGAGAGUGUUUUCUCUGUAAAUUUUCAUUGUAAAUAUAUAACAUUAACAACAAAAACAAUAAUAGAUACAUUUUCAUAGUUCUGACUAUGUGCCAAACAUUAUUCUAAGCUCCUUACAUAUACUAAUUCAUUCAACCCUUAUAAAAAUCCGAUGCCAUAAAUAUUACUAUUAUUCCAAGUUUACAGAUGCAGAAUCUAAGGUAAUGAAAGUUUGAACAACUUGUUCAUGAUCAAGUAGAUGCAAAUUCAGUUCUCCAACUCCAGGCAGUCUUGUUCCAAAAUUUACGUAAAAGAGACAGCAUUACCAGUUGAAGUAUACUAAGGUCCUUCCUUUUUCAGAAAAUGCUAAUUCCUGGACACUGGCUAUGUAACUUUUUAGUCUCUUUUUGUGGUCAGAUCUUUUAUGAUAUGCUUAUCUUAAAAUGAUUACAUUUUGUCUUGGUUUCUAUAAUAUUAUGGGGAUUACAAAGUUGUCUGACAUUUUAUUUUUUUCUAGGGGACAUUGGAAUUUGAAAGUUAUUACUUUGGCUCAUGACUGUUAAAAAGUCAGCUGCCACUCAAAUUAUUUCUAUUUAUUUAUUUAUGUAUAUAUUACAUAUGUAUGUAUUUAUUUUUGCCCGCACCCACAGCAUGUGGAAAUUCCUGGGCCAGGGAUAGAAUCCACACCAUAGCAGCAACCCCAGCUGCUGCAGCAGUGACCCCAGCCACUGAAGUGACAAUAUGGCAUCCUUAGCCCAUAGUGCCACAAGAGAACUCUAGUUUCUUUUUUAUAUGACAAUUCACUUUCUUUGUCUUUUAAAUCUCCAUGUAUUUACAUACGAAGUUCUUUUACUUUGUACUGCUUGGUAAACAUAACGCUUUUUACAUUUGGUUUAUAUCUCUAUUUGUUGUGUAACAUUUCUAACAAUUUUUACCUUGAAUAUUGGUUCUUCCCCCAUUAUCUCCUUUCAUCCUCCAGAAUUCCAAAGAGAUAUACGACAAAUUUUGUCAUCUAAUAUUUCUGUCUUUCAGCCUCCUUUUCAUAUUUUACAUCUCAUUGUCUGUCAUCAUUUCUGAGAGGUAUAUUCAAUUUUAUCUUUCAGUUUACUACUGCUUUUUUUACAGGUGUUUAGUCUGCUGUUCAGAUUAUACUUUUUUUUUUUCAUUUAAAAACUGUAGAUAGGUGUGGUAGAGGGAUGGAUUGGGGGUUUGGGAUGGGCAUAUGAACACUGUGGUAUAUGGAAUGGUUGGCCAGUGGGGACCUGGUGAAUAGCACAGGGAAUUCUACCCAAUAUCCUAUGAUAAACUAUAUGGGAAAAGAAUCUAGCAAAGAAUGUAUGUGUAUAUAUGUAUAACUGAAUCACUUUCUAGUACAGCAGAAAUAACCACAACACUGUAAAUCAGCUAUACUUCAAAAAAAGCAGGUUUUACACAUACAAUUUUUAAUCUAUUUUUUUGAUAGUCUCUAGUGUUCUGGUUAUUUUUUAUUAUAUUAUUAUUAUUUUUUUGUCUCUUUUUUGUCUUUUUUAGGGCAUGUGGAGGUUCCCAGGCUAGGGGUCUAUUGGAGCUGUUGCCGCUGGCCUACACCAGAGCCAUAGCAACGCCAGAUCCGAGCCACAUCUGUGACCUACACCACAGCUCAUGGCAACACCAAAUCCUUAACCCACUGAGCGAGGCCAGGGAUCGAAACUGCAACCUCAUGGUUCCUAGUCAGAUCCGCUUCCACUGCGCCACGAUGGGAACUCCUUAUAUUAUUUUGUACACAUUUGAAACAUAGUCUUUGUGGUUUCUCUGAUAAUUUCAAUAUGGGGACUUGUGUAUCAUUCCACUGAUACUCAAUCAUGAUGGCUCACUUCCUUCUAUGUUUCGUGGUAUUUUUUUUUCAAACUGGGGACAGAUAUUGGUGGAAUACAACUUGUGUCAAUCCAGAGAGCCCAAACUGAAUAUAGUUUCUACCAGAGAGGAUCCGUAGUGCCCUCAACCUAACCUAUGUGAAUUUAAGAUCUUAGCCAGAGGUUUCACUGACCCAAUGGUCAGUGUAAAUUUGAACAGUAGACAUAUAGGAGAGCAGGCUAGUAAUUAUAAAUUGUCUGUUUAAAGUACUAUUAGUAAUAUCUUUCCCAGUUUCAACCUUGGAAAUGACAAAUUUCCUGAUAGAAUCUAGUUUUUGACUGGCAUUUUUUUCCCUAGCCCAUCCUUUCACUAUAUGGCCCCGUUGAGGGUCCAGGCCAAUUUAAGGAUUCUCAGGCUUGAAUUCUCAGCUUUGCAUGGACUGCAAACCUUGGCCUCCAGCUCUCCAUGCUUUCAAAGUCAUUUAUAGCUUAUGGAUAUACAUUCACCUGCCUCUUCAUUCACGUAUUUGUGCAUUUAUUUGUUCAUUUUGGUCUCCACUGAGUGUCAAUACAUUGUUCCUAAUUGAACAACAAAUUAAAAUACUAUCCAGAAUCUAUUUGAAUUGUAGCACAGAACAUUUUAAAAGUAUCUAGAUUGUUAUGGUUCUAAAAGUGGAAAUACUCCAUUGUUUUGAGCUCCAGUGGAGGACGAUGUUUUGUUUUGUUUAAUUUUUAAUAGUAUUCUUGAUAAAGUAGGUCACCAGACAAAAUCAAAAUGAGCUGAAAUACAUAUAUUUUAAAAAUUGUUUUAUCAUAAAUACAUACCUAUAAAUUUAUUUCAUAUUUUAACAGCUUUACUGAAGUAUAAUUAACCUGUAAACUAUUUAAAGUGUACAAGUUUAUAAGUCUUAAUAUAUGUACACAUUUAGGAAACCAUAUGACAAUCUAGACAAUGAAUAUAUUCAUCACCACUUAAAGUUUUCUUGUUCCUUUUUAUAAUUCUUGCCUCUUACUACUCCCCACCCAUCUCUGGGAAACCACUCAUCUGUUUUCUGUACUUAUAUAUCAAUUCUGCAUAAACUGAAUCAUCCAGUAUGUAGUCUUUCAACCUUCAAAGCCUUAAAGACAACACAUUCAUAUGGUCAUCGAUUACUGAACCCUUCAUUGUUCAUGAAAACAAAAAAUUCUUCUCUCACAAUCCAAAUAUUUUAUCAGUGAUGAAGGAGAAUCCAGGAAUAAAGUUCCUUGUAUGUCUAACUUACUGUGAUCAUAUAAUCACUAAAUUAAAGAUUAGAGGUAAGCCAUGGGGGGAAAAAAAAUUGAGUGAACAAUAUAUCAUGAAAGCCCAAUAAUUAGUUUGGAAAAGUAGAAUAUUUCUUUAAACUUAGUAACACAUGAUUGUAAAAGUGAGUGAGGCACAUAAAACCUUCAAACACCUAAGCAACGUUCCUUAUUGAUGGGAUACAUAAUCACUCUGUAUAAAGGAAACAAAACAUUCUGUAAAAGGCCAAAUACUAAAUUUCUGCUCUUCCUUCUAGAGGAAAAUAAUUCCUAUGAUUAAGUAUUUGUAUACAUUGCUUAGUUACAGAACUAAUCUUCAGUUGAGGGAAAACGUAAGCUCUUGGAAAAUGAUUAAAUUCAAAAGAACAUGACAACAAAGGAAGAAAAGAGCCUAAAGAAAAAUAAGUGAAAGAAAUUUCACUUAAUCUUUUCUUUCAAAAACUAUCAAUAUUCUUCAAAUUCUCUAAUCAUCAAGGCAGACAAAUAGAAUCCAAAAUAUGAUACAGUUCACAGUGACUCUUAAGGAAAUUCUAUCCUGUCCUUUAACACAAUUU